AAUAAACCCUACGUGACAAAAUAUCUUUGGACCUACUGAUUAAUGAAACCACCGACUGAGCUGGAAGGAUCUCUGUCGUUUUUCAAAUACAUUUUUUUCCAGAUCCGACUUCCUCUGGAGACAAACAAAAGCAGAAUGAUAAAGGGAUAAUAAAUGAGUUCGACCGAAGGCCGGGGUCAACGGAACCAGGGACUCGCCCACCCCAUCCUCGUAAUGUUCACUGUUUGUCCAAGUCAUGAUCUGAGCACGUGGACAUGAUCCCAGGCUCCCUUUGGAUCUCUACGUCAUCAUCGCCGGUGUUGGGGCAUUUGGAAAUAAUCACCUCAGACGGCUUGACUAUUGCAGCUCUGUUGAAAGUGAGAGUUUGGAACCAACUCCCAGCAAUCACAGAAUCAUUACAGAAUUUAUGCUUCCCAGCCCAGAUCAGCCCAAGAUCCAGUGUGUGCAUGUGAGACAGAUGCGGAGGUCUGUGUGUAUUUCCGGUCAUUUUCUCACGCCAUGUUUUUAUAUUAAACUGUGAACAUUAAUUAUAUUCCUCAUGUUUUCUUCCGGCGUCCACAGAAAUCUCGAAGCAACUCUGGCUCCACCUGGAGGCCGGUCAUAUUACUGCAAUUGUUCUGGGUCCGAGACACCAUGACAAGGGGUAAACUGGACAAAAAAAACACCUCUGCACAAGACACAAUACAGCAACAUUCAGUUGCUGCAUCGGUUUGAGGAAGGUUCUGACGCCUCUCCGUGAAUGAAGGCUAAACCUAAACUCACUAAAGCACCUAUCUCAGGAUCCACUUCUGCACAGCUGGAUCACCGGUGGUGUUCCACCUGUCUUCCCCUCAGGCUUUUCUCACAGGGACCCUUCAGAUUUCUCACUCUGAGGGCUCCAUUGACAAAUUGGAUUCAACUUUAUGUAAAAGAGAUUUAAUAGGGAUCCUUUGUUGUUGUUGUUGUUUAUUUCUGCU
rnacentral:lncRNA from 1 species